rnacentral:rRNA from 1 species
ACGAACCUCUGUCGGUACGUGACCUCUCGCAUUUAUGCGAAGGGGGACUCCGGGCAGCAGGCGUGACUCGAAGGGGCCUGACGCAUUUCCAACCCGCACGAUAAGGACGCCGCAGCCGGUUGGGUAGCUGCGCGUGUCGGCCAUGAGGACGUGCAGUGGCAGUAGACCGUUUCUCGCUAAAAAGUGGCGUUUGCCGGUUGUUUAGCCAGUUCGUCCGUGGCGCGACACCCGACCGAGGUUCAGGAGGUUCCACUAGAUGGGACCUCGCCGUUCCUUUCUGUCUGUAUAACACAGGUCUGUGUGUGCACCAGAGCGGGCCGGCGGACAGGCGAGGCGCUGCGCCAUACCGCUCUAGUCAUCGAACUGGGUGGUGCGUAGUGUCCGCCGGUGGUCCGCGUCGGUUAAACCGCAAUGGGAAGAGAGAGUUUGGCUCGUGGCGAGUAGGUCGGUCACCCACCCGACCCGUCUUGAAACACGGACCAAGGAGUCUAACAUGUGCGCGAGUCAUGGGGUCUUGUUUAGGCCCAGAGGCAUAAUGAAAGUGAAGUUGGAUCUCUGUAUACCAUGUUGGGAUUUCCCGAGGAAUUGGAAAGCCCGAGGAAAGCACCAACGACCCGCCCUGUUCUUGAUUUUAAAGUGUGGACGGCGUCUGAGCGCACACGUUGGGACCCGAAAGAUGGUGAACUAUGCCUGGGCAGGACGAAGCCAGAGGAAACUCUGGUGGAGGUCCGCAGCG